GACGUAGGGCGCGAGCGUUGUCCGGAUUUAUUGGGCGUAAAGAGCUCGUAGGCGGCUUGUCGCGUCGGCUGUGAAAUCCCGUGGCUCAACUGCGGGUCUGCAGCCGAUACGGGCAGGCUAGAGUUCGGUAGGGGAGACUGGAAUUCCUGGUGUAGCGGUGAAAUGCGCAGAUAUCAGGAGGAACACCGGUGGCGAAGGCGGGUCUCUGGGCUGACACUGACGCUCAUGCACGAAAGCGUGGGGAGCAAACAGG
rnacentral:rRNA from 1 species